rnacentral:rRNA from 1 species
UACGUAGGGUGCGAGCGUUAAUCGGAAUUACUGGGCGUAAAGCGUGCGCAGGCGGUUUGCUAAGACAGGUGUGAAAUCCCCGGGCUUAACCUGGGAACUGCGCUUGUGACUGGCAGGCUAGAGUACGGUAGAGGGGGUGGAAUUCCUGGUGUAGCAGUGAAAUGCGUAGAUAUCAGGAGGAACACCGAUGGCGAAGGCAGCCCCCUGGGCCUGUACUGACGCUCAUGCACGAAAGCGUGGGGAGCAAACAGGAUUAGAUACCCCGGUA